rnacentral:ncRNA from 2 species
UAUAAAAUUGGACGUGAAGACGGAUUAUCUGUAUGUGGGCACUUGGGUAAUCAAGAGCGAGUAGUGCAACCGGCCAAGUUUGUA